AAUGUAAAGAGCGAUGGAGCUCGUUGCCAAACGCUUUUGAGCUGAUAGCUCCUGCCUGAAU
rnacentral:ncRNA from 2 species